CUAAACAACAAAAGACACGAAAAACAUCAAAAUAACACGGAAAAGCAAAAACAAAUACUCAACGAAACAAAAAGAAAAGGAUAUAACCUUGAUUUUGAUGCCUAAACUAUGAUACCAAAUUAUGCGAACCCACGUAACAACGAACACUACGAAACCCACAGGACAUUGAACCGAAUUCCGAGAAAGCCAAAAACAAGGUUUUGGACUCAACCCACAAUAUUAAAACCAAACAACCCAACAAGAAUGACGCUAUGAAGGACCUCUUGAUUACGCAACACGAUGAAUCUUACCUGAUUUUGUGAAUCUAACCCAAUAAUUACGAACCAAACAACCAACACAAUCAUGUGGACAUGCCGACUUUUUUAUUACAAGUAAUUAUAAAAUUACAACCCCGCUUUUGAACUUAUCAAGAAUAUUAAUUCUUGAUAAGUUUGGUUUCUCCUAUCCAGAACAGUAAUUUAGAAGCUUCAAGCCUCGAGAGAGAAAUCUCUAUUUUUCAUCAAUAAUCAAUGGAAAAUAAAUAACCUAUUUAUAACAAAACCUAGAAAGUAGUUUGAAAAGAAAUAAAACUCUAAAAAUAUAAAAGUUACCAAAAUUAAGAAUUCUAAACAAAAUAGAACUGAU
rnacentral:lncRNA from 1 species